UACGAAGGGGGCUAGCGUUGCUCGGAAUCACUGGGCGUAAAGGGCGCGUAGGCGGCGUUUUAAGUCGGGGGUGAAAGCCUGUGGCUCAACCACAGAAUGGCCCUUCGAUACUGGGACGCUUGAGUAUGGUAGAGGUUGGUGGAACUGCGAGUGUAGAGGUGAAAUUCGUAGAUAUUCGCAAGAACACCGGUGGCGAAGGCGGCCAACUGGACCAUUACUGACGCUGAGGCGCGAAAGCGUGGGGAGCAAACAGG
rnacentral:rRNA from 1 species